GAUGAACGCUAGCGGCAGGCCUAACACAUGCAAGUCGAGGGGUAACUAGAGUGAUAGCAAUAUUACUUUGGCUAGACCGGCGCACGGGUGCGUAACACGUAUGCAACCUACCUUAUACUGGGGAAUAACUUCGAGAAAUCGGCGCUAAUACCCCAUAACAUUGCGAAGAGGCAUCUCUUUGCAAUUAAAGCUCCGGCGGUAUAAGAUGGGCAUGCGUCCAAUUAGCUAGUUGGUGAGGUAACGGCUCACCAAGGCUACGAUUGGUAGGGGUUCUGAGAGGAUGAUCCCCCACACUGGUACUGAGACACGGACCAGACUCCUACGGGAGGCAGCAGUGAGGAAUAUUGCGCAAUGGACGAAAGUCUGACGCAGCCAUGCCGCGUGCAGGAUGACGGCCCUAUGGGUUGUAAACUGCUUUUGUACGGGAAUAAACCCUUCUACGUGUAGGAGGCUGAAGGUACCGUAAGAAUAAGCACCGGCUAACUCCGUGCCAGCCGCCGCGGUAA
rnacentral:rRNA from 1 species